AGCUCCAAUAGCGUAUAUUAAAGUUGUUGCAGUUAAAAAGCUCGUAGUUGGAUUUCUGGUAGUGGGUUCGAGCGCACAUGCGUGAUGUCUCAUGCCCGUUGCCAUCCUUCUGUUAACCUAUCAGGGCAUUCAUUUGUCAGUUAGGGGCUCAGAUAUUUUACCUUGAGAAAAUUAGAGUGUUUCAGGCAGGCUUGUGCCCGGAUACAUUAGCAUGGAAUAAUGGAAUAGGACUUUAGCCUCUUCUGUUGGUCUGAGGGGUUGAAGUAAUGAUUAAUAGGGAUAGUUGGGGGCAUUAGUACUUAACUGUCAGAGGUGAAAUUCUCGGAUUUGUUAAAGACUAACUUAUGCGAAAGCAUUUGCCAAGGAUGUUUUCAUUA
rnacentral:rRNA from 2 species